UUAACCAGGGUGUUUAUUCCCUUUUAAUACUCGAAAACCAAUAAUAAACUAAGCGUGUAGAAAGCUUAUCGGUUCCUUGUUUGGACGAGGGUUCGAAUCCCUCCAGCUCCACUC
rnacentral:tmRNA from 1 species